CGGGGUGUAGCGCAGCUGGAAGCGCACCUGCUUUGGGAGCAGGGGGUCGCUGGUUCAAAUCCAGUCACCCCGA
rnacentral:tRNA from 1 species